rnacentral:lncRNA from 1 species
GGUCCGUCUACGGAUGAAAACAAACGACAAAAGAAGAACGACGUCCAUCCUUGCUAUCCGAGGCUGCCGGCCUGGAACCCAUCCUAGAUCGAUGAAGAAGAAGAAGAANNNNNNNNNNNNNNNNNNNNNNNNNNNNNNNNGCGUCACGUAACCUUUACCUGUACCUGCAACUGGUGUUGUAGUAAUCUGUGAGUCACAGGGGACUCAGCAAUCUCAUUUCCAAAGGUAUCAAGACUAGCAAAGCUUAAUGCGUGAGGUAUGGUUAAGUGGUGAGGCUGCAACAACGACUAAGCAUUUAUUUGGUGGCUAAACUUACGAGUACAAGAAUAAGAGGGGGAAGAUCUACGCAUAACGGACGUGAACUACUGAUGAUCAAAUGAAUGAUCCUGAACACCUACCUACGUCAGACAUAACCCCACCGUAUCCUCGAUCGGAGAAGGAACUCACGAAAGAGACAGUCACGGUUACGCACACAGUUGGCAAGUUUUAGUUAAGUUAACUUCAAGUUAUCUAGAACCAGCGCUAAACAAAGUUUCCACGUUGCCACAUAACCGCGGGCACGGCUUUCCGAAAGAUUUAACCAUGCAGGGGUGCUCCAACUAGUCCAUCACAAAUUACCACAAGCCGCAUAGAAAUCCUCAAUCACGAAGCUCGCGAUCUCGUCGGAUUCCCUAGUGGAAAACCUCAACUCUGAGAUUACCCAAAGCAUCACCGGAAUCCCGAUGCACAAGAUAUCUCGUCAAAGGAAAAACUAAUCCAGCAAGGCCACCCGACGUGUCGACGAUCCCGAUAGGAGUCGCGUACCUCGUUCUCAGGACACGACGGAUGAGCGAUGGUUACCACGCCAAACGCCGAGUUGCCCCGGGUAGCGUUAAUAAGCUGCUCUGUUUUGGACCAACACUCAUGAGGAGCACUGGCCUUGGGUUUGAUUAAAUUUCCUCGGGUUAAUUACUCCCUAUGCAGUUCAUUAGUUAUUAGGCAAAUGUAGUACCAAAGUUGGGCCUUGCCAGACCAGAUUUAAUCUAAAACUAAUUAUCAAGGGGGUCCCCAUAACGACCCCGAUCGUGUUAGGAGCGCUCAUUUAUGGAACAUAACACCGGUAGCCGGAAACUAAGGGGGCAAAGGUGGAACAAAACACUAGGCUAGAAAGGCCGAGCCUUCCACCUUUUACCAAGUAUAUAGGUGCAUUAAAUUAAAUAACAUUAAUAUGGUGAUAUGACAAGGAACCCAUGUUAUCACAUGGAAGCAUCUGCACCUGCAACUAGCAACGCUAACAACAUGGAUAAGCAAGCGGUAACAUAGCCAAUCAGUGGUUUGCUAGGUCGAACAGGUUGAAGGUUAUCAUGGCAUUGUUGAGAGGCUGAUAUGGAAACAUGUGGUAGGCAACGAGACAUAAACGAUAGAAGCCAUAACUAGCAUGGCAAUGAUAGUAAUGGUAUCUGGGGAAAUGAUCAUCUUGCCUGAGAUCCCGCUUGGAAGAACAACUCGGAGAAGUCGGCGAACCAACGUAGUCGAACGGGUCCUCACAUUCCGACACGCUUGCGGAACUCUAUCGAAACGGAGGAAACCGGAAACAAACAUCAACACAGAUAUUCCGCAUAGCAAAUGCAAGACAUGAUGCACACCCUAAUAUGAUGCAUAAUCAGUUCAAAGAUGCAAGGCAUGGCAUGACAAUUCACCUCACGCAAACACUACACAUUAAGUGAAGCUCGAUAUGCAACGGGUUACAUAUCGACGAAACUCCACGAUUAAUUAUUUAAUUC